rnacentral:rRNA from 1 species
CCUACGGGUGGCAGCAGUGGGGAAUAUUGGACAAUGGGCGCAAGCCUGAUCCAGCCAUGCCGCGUGAGUGAUGAAGGCCCUAGGGUUGUAAAGCUCUUUUGGCGGGGAAGAUAAUGACGGUACCCGCAGAAUAAGCCCCGGCUAACUUCGUGCCAGCAGCCGCGGUAAUACGAAGGGGGCUAGCGUUGCUCGGAAUCACUGGGCGUAAAGGGCGCGUAGGCGGCCAUUCAAGUCGGGGGUGAAAGCCCAGGGCUCAACCCUGGAAUUGCCUUCGAUACUGUUUGGCUAGAGACCGGAAGAGGUUAGUGGAACUGCGAGUGUAGAGGUGAAAUUCGUAGAUAUUCGCAAGAACACCAGUGGCGAAGGCGGCUAACUGGUCCGGUUCUGACGCUGAGGCGCGAAAGCGUGGGGAGCAAACAGGAUUAGAUACCCUGGUAGUC